UUGUUGGUAAGGUAAAAGCUUACCAAGGCUUCGAUCAGUAGCUGGUCUGAGAGGACGACCAGCCACACUGGGACUGAGACACGGCCCAGACUCCUACGGGAGGCAGCAGUGGGGAAUUUUGGACAAUGGGGGCAACCCUGAUCCAGCCAUGCCGCGUGAGUGAAGAAGGCCUUCGGGUUGUAAAGCUCUUUCAGCCGGAACGAAACGGUUACGGUUAACACCCGUGACUACUGACGGUACCGGAAGAAGAAGCACCGGCUAACUACGUGCCAGCAGCCGCGGUAAUACGUAGGGUGCGAGCGUUAAUCGGAAUUACUGGGCGUAAAGCGUGCGCAGGUGGUUUUGUAAGUCAGAUGUGAAAGCCCCGGGCUCAACCUGGGAACUGCGUUUGAAACUACAAGACUAGAGUGUGGCAGAGGGGGGUGGAAUUCUGCGUGUAGCAGUGAAAUGCGUAGAGAUGUGGAGGAACACCGAUGGCGAAGGCAGCCCCCUGGGUCAACACUGACGCUCAGGCACGAAAGCAUGGGGAGCAAACAGGAUUAGAUACCCUGGUAGUCCAUGCCCUAAACGAUGUCAACUAGUUGUCGGGCCUUUACGGGCUUGGUAACGUAGCUAACGCGUGAAGUUGACCGCCUGGGGAGUACGAUCGCAAGAUUAAAACUCAAAUGAAUUGACGGGGACCCGCACAAGCGGUGGAUUAUGUGGAUUAAUUCGAUGCAACGCGAAAAACCUUACCUACCCUUGACAUGUAUCGAAGCCCGCAGAAAAGCGGGGGUGCCCGAAAGGGAACGAUAACACAGGUGCUGCAUGGCUGUCGUCAGCUCGUGUCGUGAGAUGUUGGGUUAAGUCCCGCAACGAGCGCAACCCUUGUCAUUAAUUGCCAUCAUUUAGUUGGGCACUUUAAUGAGACUGCCGG
rnacentral:rRNA from 1 species